rnacentral:misc_RNA from 1 species
GAAAUGCGAUAAGUAAUGUGAAUUGCAGAAUUCAGUGAAUCAUCGAAUCUUUGAACGCACAUUGCGCCCCUUGGUAUUCCGGGGGGCAUGCCUGUUCGAGCGUCAUUAUAACCCUCAAGCCUAGCUUGGUGUUGAAGCGUGCCUUCUGGCAGCUUUUAAAAUCAGUGGCAGUGCCUUCUGGCUCUAAGCGUAGUAACUUCUCUCGCUAUAGGGUUUAGAGGUCCGCUCGCCAAAACCCCUAAUUUUCUAUGGUUGACCUCGGAUCAGGUAGGGAUACCCGCUGAACUUAA